UAGGGAAUCUUCGGCAAUGGACGAAAGUCUGACCGAGCAACGCCGCGUGAGUGAAGAAGGUUUUCGGAUCGUAAAACUCUGUUGUUAGAGAAGAACAAGGACGUUAGUAACUGAACGUCCCCUGACGGUAUCUAACCAGAAAGCCACGGCUAACUACGUGCCAGCAGCCGCGGUAAUACGUAGGUGGCAAGCGUUGUCCGGAUUUAUUGGGCGUAAAGCGAGCGCAGGCGGUUUCUUAAGUCUGAUGUGAAAGCCCCCGGCUCAACCGGGGAGGGUCAUUGGAAACUGGGAGACUUGAGUGCAGAAGAGGAGAGUGGAAUUCCAUGUGUAGCCGUGAAAUGCGUAGAUAUAUGGAGGAACACCAGUGGCGAAGGCGGCUCUCUGGUCUGUAACUGACGCUGAGGCUCGAAAGCGUGGGGAGCAAACAGG
rnacentral:rRNA from 1 species